GUGGGGAAUAUUGGACAAUGGGCGCAAGCCUGAUCCAGCCAUGCCGCGUGAGUGAUGAAGGCCUUAGGGUUGUAAAGCUCUUUCACCGGUGAAGAUAAUGACGGUAACCGGAGAAGAAGCCCCGGCUAACUUCGUGCCAGCAGCCGCGGUAAUACGAAGGGGGCUAGCGUUGUUCGGAAUUACUGGGCGUAAAGCGCACGUAGGCGGAUAUUUAAGUCAGGGGUGAAAUCCCAGAGCUCAACUCUGGAACUGCCUUUGAUACUGGGUAUCUCGAGUAUGGAAGAGGUAAGUGGAAUUCCGAGUGCAGAGGUGAAAUUCGUAGAUAUUCGGAGGAACACCAGUGGCGAAGGCGGCUUACUGGUCCAUUACUGACGCUGAGGUGCGAAAGCGUGGGGAGCAAACAGGAUUAGAAACCCGGGUAGUCC
rnacentral:rRNA from 1 species